UGCAGGCAAUUUCUCCUUCAACGUUGUUCUUUUUUUCGGAAUUUGCAAUGCAGGUCAAGACUUGUCUCGUUGCACAAACAAUUGGCGGCGACAGCAGAAUCUCCUGCAUAUUUAAUCCCCAUUACUGGCAGUCUACCACUACAAGAUCAACGGAGACCAAUAGCGGGAACCAAACAAAUGACAAAAAUGCGCAAAAUAGUCAACUGUAAAAAACUGUAGCACUCCAGCAAAGUCCAUGGAAUCGAGAGGGAGAGAGGCCCAAUUAAAGCAAAAAUGUCAACAAUGUACUGCAAGCGCAUUGUCAAGCAUCAAUUUUGAGUGAGAGGAAGUGGCUACUUAAUGAGCUGCCAGUCCCUGCCCAUCACAACAGCGCCCAACUGGUGUUCAGAUCGUCUGACUACGAGAAAUAUACAAGAAAAUUGCUUCAUUUUCGAAUUUCUGUCAUACUCGACAUGUUUUGUGCAUACGUGUUUUUCCCACUCUCUUGGCGCCCCCUUCCCGUGCUCCUCAGACUCGUACUCGUAUGUUUGGAAUCUAUUCGUGCCACGAAUUUCAUUUUCAACUUGGCAGCUGCAAUAUUUACUCUUGCUGCAACGUGCAACGGCUGCCAGGCAACUUAUUAAAAACGUCAGUAGCGAAAGCAGCAAUAAAAAAAUGCCGUAAAGAAAA